GUGUCAGCAGCCGCGGUAAAACGUAGGAGGCGAGCGUUAUCCGGAGUUACUGGGCGUAAAGCGUGCGCAGGCGGUGCCAUAAGUCAGGUGUGAAAGAUUCCGGCUCAACCGGGAAAACGCGCUUGAGACUGUGGGACUAGAGUGGGAUAGAGGGGCGUGGAAUUCCGGGUGGAGCGGUGAAAUGUGUAGAGAUCCGGAGGAACACCAGAGGCGCAAGCGGCGCCCUGGGUCCCAACUGACGCUGAGGCACGAAAGCUUGGGGAGCGAACGGGAUUAGAAACCCUCGUAGUCC
rnacentral:rRNA from 1 species